CUAACAAUUCUAUAUACACAUUCAGCCAAUUCAAGGAUGUCAUUUCCUCAUUAGGGAUUAAGAAAUCCUAAAUGUCACUGGUUUAAUCUCCAUCACAUUAGAAGAAAAUCUGCACGAUAUGUUAUAGAUUAUUAUAACAGGUAAAAUUAAUAAGGUAAGAAAAUGGAAAGUUAAGGAUGUGUAAUUAAUUCAUUUGUAUCAUAGUUUGUUGUUAAAUACAAAUAAAGUUUUAAAAAACACAAUAGAAAACUUAAAAACCUGCACAUGUUUCGAUUCUGGCCCCUUGGUAAUGCAUAAUUGAAAGCAUUUGGGUUAAAUCCAAUGUUAA